rnacentral:misc_RNA from 1 species
UGAGUGUGUUUGUGUGAGUGUAUGAGUGCGCGUCAGUGAGGGUGCUCGUGUGGCUUGGUGGCUGUGUGCGCGCGCGCCCGUUCUCAUUGUCAAGGCCCGAUGUCCUGCAAUUCUCGGGCAUCUAAGGAGUUCGAGGGGGAAUCAAAUCCCGAAUGGAGGUUGUCCCAGGCUACCGAAGAGGAUGAUGCGUCGCAGGAGCAGGAGCUUUUGGAGGAGUCGGCGGCGCGGACCAGAGUGUUUGAGUGGCGGGUGACACGGAACUCUGGUGCCAUGAGAAGUGACACGCUCUCCCCGUCAGAGAGCUCAACCACACCCAUUGUCUUGCGAAUCGAAACAACAGCACCAGUAACUAAUGACGAGGAUCCAGUCUCUCCCUCUCCCCAACGCUCUCCUUCCACGACGUCUCUUUCUACUCAGUAUCAUUCCACAUCCUCCUUGCCUGUUCUUUCUCCAACUUCCAUUUCUGUGUGUUUUUCCAUCACUCCUCCUCCUGAAUCCCAUCCUUCGUCCUCUCCAUCUUCCUCUCCUCCUCGUGCCGUUUCUCCAUCUCCUUCUGUUCCCUCAUAUACGUCAUGUACUGUUUUCAUACCUUCCUCAUCAUCCCCACCACCAUCACCAUCACCUCCUCCUCUUCGUCAUUCUCUACCAACUUGUAUCUCCUCAACGCCCCGUCAGCGGUCCCGUUCCUCCCCUCCCUUGUGCACUCCUCGCUCAUCCUCCCCUAUCUCCAACUGUUCCUCGGAGGCAAGACUCAGCCUCACAGAAACCCUAGACAAGAAGACUGACUCCCCUGACAACGAUGAUGAAGAGGCAAACACCUUCGUCACACCACUCCUUAACAACCAACCACCCCCGUCAUGCCCCAACACGCCUCUUAUAUCAGGAUCCUCGGGCCUUUCCUCACCAUUCCAACGCAGACGAAGCUUACCACAGGGCACAGAACCCCAUGGUAUUGCUGCUCGAUUCGCUGAGGCCAAGAGCGAGCUGGUUGGGCGGUGCUCAAAGAUUAACAAUAAGGUAAAAUGGACAGCCAAGGUGGGCAUGAACAGCACCUUAAGGAGGACGUGGUCGUUCGUGAGGGCAGGUCGUAUAGAAGCUCGACAAUCCCCGCGGGUGUCGGAGUACCUCAUGGGGGACAUCGAUUCCUCCUCCGCCGUUCUCAACUGCUCCACCGCCUCCUCCAGAAACAAGUCGUACGAGAACCUGAUGAGCAGCGACGCAGAGAGCAGCGCUGGGGAGCCUCGGAGCAGCGGUGCGGUGGAGGCAGCGGAGACGAGCAGUGGCGUUCUUGACACGAGCCUCAAGGAACCCGAGGUGCUCACGCCACAGCAGAUAGAUGAACAGCUGCACCGCCAUGAACAGGGAGUGGAGCACGCCCUGUACCGAGCCAAGGUGUGGAGCAAGUACGCCAAGGAUGUGAUCGCCUACAUCGAGAAGCGCGCCCAGCUUGACCUGGACCACUGCCGCGCUCUCACCAAGCUGGCGCAUGUCACGCGGCCGGCACUCAAGGACGAGAGCUUCCUGCCGUUCCAGUCGAUCUACUGCACCGCGCUGGACCAGGACAUCGAAAACUGCGCCCAGCUCUCCCAGACCUCCACGCUGCUGCUCACACAGAAGUUUGUGGAGCCACUCACUGCACGGAGGAACGAGCAUGAUCGAGCCCGGAAGGUGAUCAAGGAGUCGUGGACCAAGGAGCUCAAGCGGGUGACGGAGGCCCUGAGCAACCUGAAGAAGGCGAAGAUGGGGUACGACCAGCGACAUCAGGAGCUGGGCCGGGCGAGGGAGGCAGCAGCACGGGGAGAGAACACUGAGGCGCAGGAUAAGCUCGAAAGAAAACGCGAUGAAGCUCUGCAGAAGGCGAAGGAGGCUGAGGCGUGGUACAAGACGUGCGUUCAUGAGGCCAACGAGCGACACGCCUCCUUGCUGCGCCUCAAGAGGGACGUGUUGGUGCAGCUACGGGACCUCAUCUUCCAGUGUGACCAGACGAUGAAGGCUGUCACCGUGGGAUACUUCCAGCUGCAGCACACUGUCGCCGCCCCCGCCCCCGUGCAGUUCCAGACACUCUGUGAAAGUUCCCGCCUUUACGAGCCGGGAUCUCAGUACAUGGAGUUUGUGAAGCGUCUCGGACCCUCACCAGGACCCGAGCAACCCGAGUCCCCUUUCACGUUUCAAUCUUACCGCCCCGGGGCCUCCAACCUGUCUCCCCACCACGACCCCGCCGCCAAUGGGGCCGUCCCUCCCCACGACGACCUGCAGGUGGGUCGUUUGCCAGGUCCCGGCGGCAGCGAUACAGACAGCGUGGGGUCCUCAGCCAAAAGUAUGGAAGGAUCCCCCACCGCCUCCCCGCUGCCCCCACCACGCCGCCCCCACACUGUGUCCUCUGGGGAUGAGCUGGAGACCGACCCUGACACCGACCCUCAUUACACGUACCCAUCGCUGCGGCAGGUGAUGAGCAAGGCGGCCAUCUCCCACUCCUUCAAGAAGCUCCUCACGCCGUCCCGCUGCCGAGAGUGUGAUUCCUACGUCUACUUCCACGGCUACGAGUGUGGUGAGUGCGGGUUGGGAUGCCACAAGAAAUGCCUGGAGACGCUGGCCAUCAAGUGCGGACACAAGCGGCUGCCUCGCAAGAUGACCACUUUUGGGGUUGACCUAGCACAGCACCUCACGGAAACCAAUACCACCGUGCCGCACCUGGUGGUCAAAUGCGUGGCCGAGAUUGAUGCGCGAGGAGGCAAGAUCAAGGGAAUCUACCGCGUGUCUGGAGUCAAGAGCCGCGUGGAGAAGCUGUGCCAGGCCUUUGAGAACGGAGCGCACCUGGUGGACUUAAGCGACCAGCACCCGAACGUCAUCGCCAACGUGCUUAAGCUUUACCUUCGCCAGCUGCCAGAACCUCUAUUGACCUUCAGGCUGUACCCGGACUUCAUCAGAAUCGCCAAGGAGUGCGGGACGGGGACGGGGGCAGAAGGUACCAGCCGCGCUGGGGAGGAGCUGCGGGAGCUGGUGGGACGCCUGCCUCGCCACCACCUGGCCUGCCUCGCCGUCCUCAUGCAUCAUCUGCACCGCGUCGCAACUCACUCCCAGCUCAACAACAUGCCGCCCUCCAACCUCGGCAUCGUGUUCGGGCCCACGUUGUUGCGGACGUCUGAGGGCUCUGCGUCGCUCAGCUCCCUGGUGGACACGGUGCACCAGACGCGGGCCAUCGAGCUGCUCAUCAUGUGUGUCAACGAGAUCUUCGGACACCAAGACCCACUGCAGGCUGCGUCAGGAGUUACCAGCAAGCGAGCCGGCGAGGACCAAUUCCGGCCAUCACAGAGCAAGCACGGCAGCGUCCCCGUCAGCAGCAGCAGCAGCAGUAGCAUGGUGUACACUGUGCCUAUCGCUGGCUACAGAAGGAGCACCACUGACUCAGAGGACGCCCACUCCACUUCCCACGCGUGUAAGGAAAGGAAGGACUCAGAUGUGCAAGAUGACGACUGGGAUUCAGAGAGCUGGGAGGAGAGCGCCUUUGAGGGAGUAGGGAGUGGUGUGGGUGGCGAUGCUUCCUCCGCGGCCCUCCCUACCACCACCACCACCACAACCAUGAGCAGCAGUAGCAGUAGCAUCGCCGCCGCCGCAGCUGCCGCCACCUGCCCUGUGCCCCCGCCAAGAGCGUCGCCAGCAGCCAGUCGCACCUCCGCCGGGCAGGCUAAGAUUUAUAAGACGUCUCUGAAGGACUACGUGGGGCUGGAGGGGGUGGCGCUGCACGUGUCCUCGGGCCUGCACACCGCCCAUGACGUGGUGCACCAGAAGCUCCGCAAGACUGUGAGCGACAUCUCCUCGUCUCUCAGGUCGUCCUCCCCCGCGGCGGCAGCAAUCACCACUAUCACCACCACCACCACGGCCGCAAUUGCCUCCCCCGCCGCCACCACCACCACCACCACCACCGUGCUUAUUCCGUCUCCAUCAACGCACGACAUGCAAAGGAGAGGCACUUUGGAGGAUGUGAAGAAAGUGGUGGUAGGAGUAGGAGUAACAGGAGGAGGAGGAGGAGGUCAACAGGAUGAGAGGAAGAGCAUGGAGUCCUCCCCUCGGAAACCCCUACAGCAGGAGGAGGUCACCAGGAGAAGACCACCCCAUUUGGAAGAGACUGGAAGGAGACCCACGAUAGAGGAGACCCCGAGGAAGAGCGAGGAGGGAGCAAGGAGAACCGAGCAGGAGGCGAGCAGGUCCCACCAGCAGACGCCCAGGCCGCAGGUGUACAAGAGUGAAUCAAAGGGCAGCGUAGGCGAAACGGAGCUGAAGGUCGAGGCGCGGAUGGGCGUGGCAGGCGGGGCAGAGCAGGUGGUGGUGCCUCCCCCGCGAAAGGUGAGUCCCCUGUUGGGUCAGCGCGCCGCCCUGGCCCAGCACAGCGGUACUGACUCCUCCCUUGACUCAGACCAUAGCUACGACCUGCACAUCCAGACCCACACGCCCGCGCCGCCCUCUGUGCCCACACACAGGCGCGCUGAGAUUGGGUACAGCGCCACCACACGUUCCUUCUCCACCUCCCGUGACGCGUCCCUCGACAACCUCACCUCCUCCGUCACCUCCUCAGAUUCCUCGUCGCAGGAGCUUGACUCGGCACACGCCACCGAGGACUCCCACAGUUCGGAGGCGCCAGACGACCCCCACGCCCUCAGCCACGCCCUCACCUAUUCCUCAGCCCCUCCGUCCCGCGCCACCCGGGCGAGGUCCAGCUCUAGCUCCUAAAAUAAAAGCAACCCAAACUUAAACAAUUCCACACGCCUGUAAGCUCCUCCCUCUCUCUCGGCCUCAGGUUGUGGCGGCAGCAGUGGGGGUGAGUCCGGGUAUGUGUCGCCGUACCUCGGGGCAGGACCGUCACCAGGGUCUUUGGUGGUCGGGCCCUCCGUGCUGGUGACUCGUGCCACCAUUGCACAGUACGAC